GGAUUCUAAAUUAAACUAUCCUUCG
rnacentral:tRNA from 1 species